GUCCACGCCCUAAACGAUGGGUACUAGACGUCGGGAAGCUUGUCUUCUUGGUGUCGCAGCUAACGCAAUAAGUACCCCGCCUGGGGAGUACGGUCGCAAGAUUAAAACUCAAAGGAAUUGACGGGGCCCGCACAAGCGGUGGAGCAUGUGGUUCAAUUCGAUGCAACGCGAAAAACCUUACCUGCCCCUUGACAUCUGGGGAAUCCUGCAGAGAUGCGGGAGUGCCGCAAGGAACCCCAAGACAGGUGCUGCAUGGCUGUCGU
rnacentral:rRNA from 1 species